UCUGCUUGGUUAUGCAAUGCACGCCGCUUUCAGGCUCUGAGACAGGACCUAUAACCACACGACUGCCAUCAGCUACGGACAGAGAACGGCAGGGAAGGGAGCUCACAGCCGCAGGUCGCCGAUCUUCAUAGCAUCCGGAGGCGCUUGCGCGCAUCUGUAGCACUUCUACACCCACAGAAAAAAAGAGGAGCGCAAAAGAAGGGAAAGAAAUCACAGAGCAGGGAAAAGAAGAGAAGACGUUUGGCCAGCUGGCCCUCAUGUUGCCGACAGCCCAGAUAUGCUUCUCCUGUGAUGAGUCCACACCAUGCUGGAUCUUCCCCCAGAUCUCCCACGCCGUAGGAUAAGCACCCAGGAGACAGAGGUGGGGGGUCAGAAUGGGGACGACCACUGUCAGUAUAGAGGAGGUUCGGGCGCAAGAGGGUAAAGAGGAGCGAGAGGAGUCCAUCUUGGCCCUGUUGGGGAUCAUUGGCACCUUCUUGAAUCUCUUCGUCAUUGUGUUUGUUUACAUCUACACUACUCUGUGAGGAGGAGGCUCCACACUGGUUGAGAGCAGGUGGAGGUGAGGGGAAGAGUCAGACGGAGAUAUGACAGAGGGGUUGACAUCACACAGAGAGGAACGUGGAAGAUGACACUGGACCACUCAGGACGGGG